AAAAAAUAAUAAAAACGUCAGUCAUCUUUUGAAAGCAUUGUCUUAAUUCAAGAAAUCUAUGUAAACUAUAACGGUCUUACUAAUAAAAAUAUAUUAAACAACUGUUUAACGUCUGAUUACUUAUUCAGUGUUUAAGGCGUGAAUAGCUAGAUAUACACUACUUUACUAAUAAACAGUGUGUAAGCCUUGAGUAACUAUUUAAUUGUUAUAACACUAACUACUGGUAACAUUUUGAGAAGUGUUCCGAAACCUUAAAACGUUAAAAACACCACACAUUUCUAUUUCUAUUUUUCUUUCAUAUUUACAUGAUUUUAUUUACCAGUCACUAGAAAAUAAGAAAUUGAGGACUUCUGUUUAUUACAAAAUAUUUUCAGUAUACAUACAUGUAGAUAUUUAAAUUAUUUUAUUUUACAUUUUCCAAUCGGUAAAAUGUCAUCUAUAAUUAAGAACAUGUUUUGAACGCGCUUUGAAACGUCAAAUGUCAUUUUCCGCAAGAAAUGUAAAAAGAUAAAUACAAACACAGGUCAUGUUGUUUUUCGUAUUUAUAUUUCAUAUGCAUUAAUUUUAUUAUUGAUAACAAUGGGAAAUGGAGUUGUUUGUAUCGUAGCAAUGAACAGAAAGCGUGCUACUAAUAAUUGGGAUCCCUUGUGAUUGGGUUUAAACAUAAGGAUGAGCAGAUGAUAAGAAAUCAAUUUCACAAUGAGAACUGUCGUAGACUGAAAAUGAGGUAACAAAGAAACACAUGCUAAAAGCCUAUGAGUGGACACGAGCUGAACAAGAGCUAAGAAAUUAAAAAUAACAAAAUAUUUGACUAGAAACUCAAAUAAAUAAAAUACAUUCUCAGUAUAAA